rnacentral:rRNA from 1 species
UACAGAGGGUGCGAGCGUUGUUCGGAAUUAUUGGGCGUAAAGCGCUUGUAGGCGGCUUGUUAAGUUCCGUGUGAAAUCCCCAGGCUUAACCUGGGAAGUGCGCGGAAAACUGGCGAGCUUGAGUGCCGGAGAGGGUCGCGGAAUUCCCGGUGUAGGAGGUGAAAUUCGUAGAUAUCGGGAGGAACACCAGUGGCGAAGGCGGCGACCUGGACGGACACGUGACGCUGAGACG